AACGAACGCUGGCGGCGCGCCUAAUACAUGCAAGUCGAGCGAGAAGACGUAGCAAUACGUUUGUAAAGCGGCGAACGGGUGAGGAAUACAUGGGUAACCUACCCUCGAGUGGGGAAUAACUAGCCGAAAGGUUAGCUAAUACCGCGUACGCUCCUUGGACUUCGGUUCAGGGAGGAAAGCGAUACCGUGGGUAUCGCGCUCUUGGAUGGGCUCAUGUCCUAUCAGCUUGUUGGUGAGGUAACGGCUCACCAAGGCUUCGACGGGUAGCUGGUCUGAGAGGACGAUCAGCCACACUGGGACUGAGACACGGCCCAGACUCCUACGGGAGGCAGCAGUGGGGAAUAUUGGACAAUGGGCGCAAGCCUGAUCCAGCGAUGCCGCGUGUGUGAAGAAGGCCUGCGGGUUGUAAAGCACUUUCAGUAGGGAAGAAAGACCGAGUGCUAAUAUCACUCGGUCUUG
rnacentral:rRNA from 1 species